GGAUAAGAAGCAACUCAGGUGAAUGCGCCCGACUGAAAAUCGGGAGAAGGUGGAUCGAUACCACCCUUGUCCA
rnacentral:tRNA from 1 species